ensembl:lncRNA
GCCGGGAUCCAGCCCUUCCCAGACUUCAUUUAAAGGUUGGCAGUGGAGGUGAGGGUGUUUUCUUGGAGAUCCCUCCUUAGCUGAAGUCUUCUAAGGGGGUGGGAUUACAAAUCUGUAUGGAGCAGUGGGGACUUGGUGCUUUCUCUUUCUCACAGAGCAUACAUAUCAGCAAAUACAGCAAAAUGUAAUUCUGUUUUCGAGGUCAGGCCUGUUACAGGAGCUGCUGUUUUCCAGGUUGCUGUUACUUUGUUUUCCUGGAAGACUUGGACAGUAUAUGAGUCAACAUCCAGUUGUUAUUGACAUUUUGUGCCUUUUAAAUAGGAAGUGUGUGGUGCAGGCUUUAUAUGUAUCAAUUGGUAUAUCCAACAGAAACAAAGCAGAAAUUGUUUAACUGUAAGAUAUUGUGAAUGUGCUGUCUAAUGAGAUUACAAGUGCAAGCUAGUAUAUGUUCAUGAAAGUAGAGGAAUUCAGAGACAGAAGCUCAGAAGCAGAGGCUAUCUGUGUAUCUCUUUCCUAGAUAGCCUUUUCUUCUAGACAUUUAUUCUUGAAAUUGAAUGUAAAAGUGUGUUCUUCAUUCUGCAAUCUGUAGUUCACUGUGAUACUCUCCUAAAGAUGCUCAAUGUCACUACAUGAUGUUUUGUUGUUUAAGACCACAAAGACUUAUGUGGUUAUGUGCCAAAAGCAGCUGAGUUACAUGAGAUGUAAGAAGAAAAGGAAAGCUUACAAAAGAGGGUGGGAUACGAUUUCUCAAUUUCUAUGUAAGAUGUUUAAGUGCAUCUCCAAACAGUGCAAGUGUAAACUUCUGCUGCAAUCAAUACACAAACAACAUGCCAUGAUAAUAAAAAAGACAUUGUGUUUUUCUUCAUGCUGUAAUAUCUCUCAGUCGUAAUAGAUUAGAAGUAUCUUGUGAUAAUAUUUUGGUGAGAACUGAGCAAAUGAGUAUAUCUAAAAUUACCAGUCCUAAGCCCUGAUUUAUAAUGAAUCAUCAAAUCCCAUCAUUCCAAGCAUUGAUAUUCUAACAAAGCUCUGCAAAGAAAUAUUUGUCAUUAAACAUUCAUACUGCUGGGGAUCCUUUAAUUGAGGCCUUCAAGUGGGACCCUGCCUUAUUAAUGAACUUCCAGCACCUGUAGCCCACGCAUUUGCUCCUGCUGUCACUCUGCUUGGCCUUUGCUGGUAAGAUCAUUCAUCCUUAUGCUCCAGUUAGUGAUCAAGAAAACUCUGAUGUUAUUUUUUG